UGACUACAUGGGUGGAUCAUCUCAAUCUUAUCCACUGACUAAGAAGCUCCUCAGAAAGACCAUAUAAAGAUGAAAAAAUAAAUUUGAAAUUGGGACAUAGAAUGUCACUCCGGGCAGUCUUCAGAGCUUCUCAACAAUAUCUGAACUCUGAAACAUGAAGGGAUUGUAUUUCUGAUCAUCACCUGUGAGACAGAAGGAAGACCCAAAGUCAAGUGCUGUUGGAAAGAGGCAUAAAAAGUGAGCUAAAGAGUGAACUGACAGUUCUUUUCUAACUAUAGAAGCUGAAGUGCUUAUAUUUUAACUUCUACACAGUCAUUUUUGAUGAUUCUAAAUUGGACUUCCUGUGCACCAAAAAGAGACCUGAUUAUCCCCAAAUCCCAGAGCACUGGAUGAUGCCUGAAAUUCUGCAGUCAGGAAAUCUAGUCACCUUAGGGCAGGCUUUGAUAAAAUGUGAUGUUGAGAGCAUUGAUCCUGAU